rnacentral:rRNA from 1 species
AGCGGCGGACGGGUGAGUAACGCGUGGGUAACCUGCCUCAUACAGGGGGAUAACACAGGGAAACUUGUGCUAAUACCGCAUAACAUAACGAGGCGGCAUCGCUUUGUUAUCAAAGGAGCAAUCCGGUAUGAGAUGGGCCCGCGUCCGAUUAGCUAGUUGGUGAGGUAACGGCUCACCAAGGCGACGAUCGGUAGCCGAACUGAGAGGUUGAUCGGCCACAUUGGGACUGAGACACGGCCCAGACUCCUACGGGAGGCAGCAGUGGGGAAUAUUGCGCAAUGGGGGAAACCCUGACGCAGCAACGCCGCGUGAAGGAAGAAGGCCUUCGGGUUGUAAACUUCUUUGAUUGGGGACGAAGAAAGUGACUGUACCCAAAAAACAAGCCACGGCUAACUACGUGCCAGCAGCCGCGGUAAUACGUAGGUGGCAAGCGUUGUCCGGAAUUACUGGGUGUAAAGGGCGUGUAGGCGGGGAUGCAAGUCAGAUGUGAAAUUCCGGGGCUUAACCCCGGCGCUGCAUCUGAAACUGUAUCUCUCGAGUGCUGGAGAGGAAAGCGGAAUU